rnacentral:rRNA from 1 species
GCUUAGAGUUUGAUCCUGGCUCAGGAUGAACGCUGGCGGUCGGCUUAACACAUGCAAGUCGAACGGAUUCUUCGGAAUCAAUGGCGGACGGGUGAGUAACGCGUGAGAAUCUGCCUUCAGGAUGGGGACAACAGCGGGAAACUGCUGCUAAUCCCCAAUAAGCCGAGAGGUGAAAGAAAUUCGCCUGAAGAGGAGCUCGCGUCCGAUUAGCUAGUUGGUGAGGUAAGAGUUCACCAAGGCGACGAUCGGUAGCUGGUCUGAGAGGACGAUCAGCCACACUGGGACUGAGACACGGCCCAGACUCCUACGGGAGGCAGCAGUGGGGAAUUUUCCGCAAUGGGCGCAAGCCUGACGGAGCCAGACCGCGUGAGGGAAGAAAGCCUUUGGGUUGUAAACCUCUUUUCCCAGGGAAGAAGAUCUGACGGUACCUGGGGAAUCAGCCUCGGCUAACUCCGUGCCAGCAGCCGCGGUAAUACGGAGGAGGCAAGCGUUAUCCGGAAUCAUUGGGCGUAAAGCGUCCGUAGGGUGCCAUCCAAGUCUGCUGUCAAAGCUCCUGGCUCAACCGGGAAAAGGCAGUGGAAACUAGGUGGCUAGAGGGCGAUAGGGGCAGAGGGAAUUCCCGGUGUAGCGGUGAAAUGCGUAGAGAUCGGGAAGAACACCAGUGGCGAAAGCGCUCUGCUGGGUCGCACCUGACCCUGAGGGACCAAAGCUAGGGGAGCGAAAGGG